UUGGUUGUGCAGCAGCACCGCCGCAGUGCAGCAGCGGUAUUCGCGAAGCCGGCUACGCCAACGGAUUGUCUGUGCGGGGAGGGCAGAGCAGGCGGUUCCGCAAGUGGCGCAGCCCGGCAAUGGAGGCGGCUUGUUUGUGCCCUGCUUGCUCUUGUCUUUGCAGCGGUGCGGCUGGGGCGUGGGGCCGCACGGAGGGCAUCUCUGCCUGGGGAGCGUGGCGGGGGUUAUACUGCACCUACAGCCUUAUCCCUCUACAAUGCACCCCCCUCUCCCUCUCCCGCGCCUCUGCAGUGGCCACACAAUGCCUGGCGCCCGGCCAUGCUUGCAGAAAGAGCAUGCAGGACAGCAGCAAGACCCCCUACAGCCGUCAUCCUUACUGGGCCCCAGCACAGGAGGAGAAGGCCCCAUCACUGCAUCUGAGUGUCACACAAGCUGAUCGUAAACACCCAAGUGGAAAGGGGUGGCAUGUAGGGGAGGAGAAGCCCCACAGAAGACAUGCCAAUAAAGUUGCCCUGGGCCAUACAGGGACCACUGAUCACCACCUCCUGAGGUAAAACUCAGUACAAACAGCAAGUCUUGGAGGGUAAAUAGACUCAGGUGCGACAUGGCUCAAGAGAAAGGGCACUCCUAGUGGCUGGCACCGUGGUUAUGAGCCUUUCACAUGUAAUUUUCCCAGAAGUUGGUUUUUGUUUGCUAAAUAUGAGAAUAAAAUGCUUUUCAGUUUGCUGAAAAUGAGAAUAAAAAUAUGUAUAUAUUGUUUCCCUGGUUAAUAAUAAAUUAGGCCCCAGCUUUACCUUUUUGGCAAAUAAUCACUUUGAGUACAAAAUUUUAGGUGCACUGGUGUCACAGCUGUAACUAUCUGGGCUUAGUAAAUGUUAAGCAUGGACAUUUGUUACCUUCAUACCAUAUGGAAUCUGAACCAGUGUUGCCUUAAUUGGCCAGUCUUGCUACACUUCACACAGAGUCUUAUUUAUACAGGUCCACAGCAAAAUAUUUAAGCAAUAUCAUAAUCUGUGCACAAUGUUUAUAAUCUGUGCAUAAGAAAUGUACCUUUGGCCUUAGUGUACUUGUACUUUUGGAAAUAAAUGAUGCAUAGUUCUACUAAAUAUUAUCCACUGGAAUGGAAGAGCCACAGAAAAUUUAGUUCACACCUUCUUUGUAAAGUGACAUCCCUACGCAUGUGCUUUAGGAUUGACGGUAUUGCUGUACUGGGUAACAUAGUCUGAUAUCCUGUUCCUGCCAAUAGCUAGCAACUGCUGCUUAAAAGAUGUGAAAGCCCUAGCAUUUACAACUAGACAGUACCUGAUAGAAAGACAACCCCUCACCCCUCCUUUUAACCAACCUGUCAGUUAAUAGCUGGCUCAUGGCCUACAGUGUAACAGUGUACAUCCCUAAUACAACUAUAAAUAUAAAUAUUCUUAUUUUCCAUAUAGGUAUUUAAUGUUGAGACCUGUUCAGCCUUUGGCCCCAAUAACAUCCCACCUCUGUGAGUUCUACCAUUUAAUUAUGGAUUGUGUAAAAAUAUUUUCUUUUGCUAGUUUUAAAUGCUCUUAAUUCCACUGAGCAUCUUGUUUAAGCAGCAUGCUAAAACAAAUUGCUGUGACAAUCAGCCCCUGUAUGAAAUAUUUCUCAUAAUCACAAUUACCCAAAUAAAGCUGACCAUAAAUUACACUUCUUCAA